rnacentral:lncRNA from 1 species
GGUGGAACCAAAGUUUUAAUCAAAGAAGGUGAUGUUCAGUUGCUGCUUACGAUAGUUGAUACCCCAGGAUUUGGAGAUGCAGUGGAUAAUAGUAAUUGCUGGCAGCCUGUUAUCAAUUACAUUGAUAGUAAAUUUGAGGACUACCUAAAUGCAGAAUCACGAGUGAACAGAUGUCAGAUGCCUGGUAACAGGGUGCAGUGUUGUUUAUACUUCAUUGCUCCUUCAGGACAUGGACCAUUACAUAACUGAAGACUCCCACCUUCAGGCAGGAUUGGGUAGUACGUGUUUGUAACUACCUGGCAUUGCCUUUUGUUGAGGUUAGAUCUUGGGACAGCCCACAUACCUAGACAAACUUAGGCUUUCCAGCUUGC